UGUACCUCUCCCCUUUUGCUUCCCCGGGGCCGCCCCAUCCGGGCGCGCCCCGGGGGAGGUCAGGAGGCCGGGUCUGCUCUGCGCGGCCGGGCCCCCGAAGCUCUUCCACGUUCCGUCUGGAUGUCUGUCUGAACACAACCUAAGAAAUAAUCUUUAAAAAACUUUCAACAACGGAUCUCUUGGUUCUCGCAUCGAUGAAGAACGCAGCGAAAUGCGAUAAGUAGUGUGAAUUGCAGAAUUCCGUGAAUCAUCGAAUCUUUGAACGCACAUUGCGCCCCCUGGUAUUCCGGGGGGCAUGCCCGUUCGAGCGUCAUCAAUACCAACUCAAGCGAGAUUUUGCGAAAUCGCUUGGUCAUGGGUUCGGGGCGCCGCCUUCAGGGGCGGGGCCCCCCUCCCCAAUUCCAUGGAGCGGAGCCCGGUGUUUGGGCGUCGGAAGUAAUAAGCACAUUUCCUCUGACGUUUCCCAGCCGUAUGUCUCCUGCCCGCCAAAGCUCCCAAUUGUCUUCAAGGCAUGACCUCGGAUGGGUAGGGAUACCCGCUGAACUUAAGCAUAUCAAUAAGCGG
rnacentral:rRNA from 1 species